GCGAAAACCCUAACCACCCUCCACUCCCUUCUCUCUCUUCGGGCAAUGCUCCUCAGGCUUUACAUGGCUUGCAUGGCCGUUUUGGGCAAAGGGCAAUUAAUCCAUUUGUCCUCUUCAUCGCGGUUCAGCCUAGAAAGGUGAGGCUUUCCCUCUCUACUCUUUUCUGCGAAAUCCUUAAUGAUUUUUGUCCUGUUGAUAUUCAAACCCUCAAUUUCUGUUGGUUCUUCAAGUAUUGGAGAGGAUUCAAGAAGAAUUAUCUCUCAAAUCUGAGUCCUACAUCUAUUUUCAAGAGGAAAAUCCUAGGAUUUGGGGUUCUAUAUAAAGAACCUCAUUUCCACCGAUUUGAAUAAAACUACAAGUCUUCAUAGAAGCAUCAGAUCUAAUUUCCAAUUUAACUAGGGAUUUGGCUUUAGUCGAAACCUUUACCUAAUUGAAUUUGGUCUUUUUAAUUCUAAACCUUGUUUUUUGUUGUGGCUGAGUAUUCGUGGUGUCGAGGAGCUCAAAAAGGAUUCCCGACUUCAAAUCUCGAUUAGUCUGCAUUGAAAAAAGUAGAAACGCGAGCAUCGAAGGAGAACAAUCAAGAGAUAGAAUUAUUAAAAGAAAGAGGUAGACAGGGAGGUGAUCCAGACUCGUAGGAGCUAUUAGCUGACUUGAGAGCACUCCAUUGUUUCAGAGGUGCCAUUGAUUUAUUCUUUUGUGUAUAUAUAUGUAUUUUGGGCAUGGCGGGGUCCUGUCCCAUCCCUAUGUCUAGCACUCUAGUAGAGGCUCGUAGAUAUGUAUGUGUGGGUAGUAUGGUCUCACGAUGACCUUAUUGUAUGUACAUUAUUUUGAUAGCCGAAGGGCUUAUGUAUAUAAGGUAAAUAUGUUUCAAGUGUAAAUGGGUUUCCUAUGAUUUGAGUAUAAGGUUAAUGAAUGGGCGCUUGA